UACAGAGGUCUCAAGCGUUGUUCGGAUUCAUUGGGCGUAAAGGGUGCGUAGGCGGCGCGGUAAGUCGGGUGUGAAAUCCUGGAGCUCAACUCCAGAACUGCCUUUGAUACUGGAGAGCUUGAGUCCGGAAGAGGUGAGUGGAACUCCGAGUGUAGAGGUGAAAUUCGUAGAUAUUCGGAAGAACACCAGUGGCGAAGGCGGCUCACUGGUCCGGUACUGACGCUGAUGGUGCGAAAAGCGUGGGGAGCAAAC
rnacentral:rRNA from 1 species